CAGCCGCCGCGGGAAUACGAGGGGGGCAAGCGUUGUUCGGAAUUAUUGGGCGUAAAGGGUGCGUAGGCGGUUUGAUAAGUCAUCUGUGAAAUCUCUGGGCUCAACCCAGAGUCUGCAGGCGAAACUGUCGGGCUUGAGUAUGGGAGAGGUGAGUGGAAUUUCCGGUGUAGCGGUGAAAUGCGUAGAUAUCGGAAGGAACACCUGUGGCGAAAGCGGCUCACUGGACCAUUUCUGACGCUGAUGCACGAAAGCUAGGGGAGCAAACAGGAUUAGAUACCCCCGUAGUCCCUGUCUCUUAUAC
rnacentral:rRNA from 1 species